UUCAUUCUCCGUUCAGUGAGGGUCUCAGGGAUGGGGAGGCCAAGCCGCUCUGUCUGCCGCUACUUUUGAUCAACGCGUGCGUGAUCUGUGCUUCAGCCAAAACAGAUUUUUCAUCUCUUCCAUACUCAAACCCUAGCCGCUUCACCCUCUCUCCCACACACAAGCAAACUCCAUCUGAAAGCCGAAAAAUACAAAGGUAAAUCCCUUCGAACUUUUCGAUUAUGAAGGAAUGCUUCAAGCGGUGCUGCCGCUGCCGCUUCGACCAAAAGGAAUGCUUCAGGCGGUGCUGCCGCUGCCGUUAUGAAGUUUGAGCGCUUCGCAGGUUGGGGAGGAGGACGACGACGAAUCCGCUCUGAGUCAGCUUGGCCUCCGCCGCAACACUAGCUAUACUUCUUCCACAGCUUCCACUGCUUCUUCUGCUGCUAAUGGGUGGGGGUUUUCUACCUGGGUUUCUUGCACAAGAGCUUCAUUUGCCCGCAUGACGGAGAUUCCGGCCUCAUCUCCUCCAAAAUUUGCCAGUACCCAAUGUGGGUCUGGUUUCUUUCUUAGAGGUUUCAACAUGGAAGCUUCUUCUACUGAUCAAAUGAGUCUCAUUAAGCAGCUGAGGGAGCGAACCAAUGCGCCGAUCAAAGACGUUAAGGCUACUCUCAUUGAUAGCAAUUGGGACAUUGAGGCUGCCCAGAAGGAAUUGAGGAGGAAAGGGAAGGUUUCGGCGUCGAAAAAGUCAUCUCGGAUGGCUGCCGAGGGCAUGCUGGCUUUGGCUCAGAAUGAGAACAAGCUGCUGUUAUUGAACUUUAACUUUGAGACUGACUUUGUUGCUCCAAAUGAUAUAUUUCAAUACUUAGUAUAUCACUAUGGAAGAACUAGAGCAAGUCCUCCACGAAUAAGGCUUAUGUGGUGAAUUUUAAUCUUUUUCAGAUCUUCGAGAGGAUAAACACUAUGUGGCUGAUCGCACAAGAUUGUUUCCUGCGACCACUGCUCAGCUUCACGUACAAAUGUGACUAGCGGGUCAAGUUCCAUAAGGAGGUGGAAGCAGAAGAAGAAUUGGCGUCACCCUUCAGUUUUUCAACCAAAAGGAGGCAACCUUGAUAAAUGAUUUACACAAGCUUCUCUGUUUUGUAUCUCUGAAAUUUGAGUUCUUUGACACAAAUAUCCUUAGGUGGACACAAAAUUUUGACCCCAACAUCCAAUUUAAUUAAUUCAACUUUGGUACUAUGAAUUGGGACCCGACAAUCCAUCAUAUGCUGCCAAGUUCUACGACUUUUGUGGGGCUGAGGAUCCUGAGGCGUCCAGCUGCACUACCAGUUUCCAUGUUUCUAUGAUGACGAUUGAUCCAUAUUUUCAGUUUUUAAACAAUAAGAUAAUGUAACCAUUCAGACUCCAGAGUGCUUUGUCAUUAAGCCGCGUGAAGGAUCGGACUAUUCAAGCUUCGCAAGUUAAUUCAAAGGCCUUAAUCACUAUAUAAGGUGAGAAAGGGAUCAUCGAUCUGAAAUGAGCUUUUUAUGUCAGGACGACACACCUAUUGGGGCAAUGUUGGGAUGUUUAGGUUUGGGUGGGGACGUGGACUUAUGGAAGAGGUGAAGUAGCUUAGCUCUCUGUCAUUAACUUUAUCUGUUCUAUGCAUCUCUACAAUCUUACAAUGCUCUUUUAUUAAAUUGCAAGAUGUUGGGACCGGUUACUAGAAUACGAGAUUUGGAACAAAAGUGGUUGACAAUGCAAGAGUCGAAACCAAGUGUGAAAUUCACAUUGAAAAUGACAGGAGAUGGUUGUGCAUGAUCUGUAGAAUCACAAUUAAAGGAUCUAUCUUGCAAGAGAACGGAGAAUUAGAUGGAGAUCUCAACCAUAGAAUACAAGCUG